rnacentral:rRNA from 1 species
GCGGCAGCUUACACAUGCAAGUCGAGCGGAUUUCACAUCUUCGGAUGUGGGGUUAGCGGCGGACGGGUGAGUAACACGUGGAAACAUGCCCUUUACUGUGGGAUAGUCACUGGAAACGGUGGAUAAUACCACAUACGCCCUACGGGGGAAAGAUUUAUCGGUAAAGGAUUGGUCCGCGUUGGAUUAGGUUGUUGGUGGGGUAAUGGCCUACCAAGCCGACGAUCCAUAGCUGGUCUGAGAGGACGAUCAGCCACACUGGGACUGAGAUACGGCCCAGACUCCUACGGGAGGCAGCAGUGAGGAAUAUUAGACAAUGGGGGAAACCCUGAUCUAGCCAUGCCGCGUGAUUGAUGAAGGCCUUAGGGUUGUAAAAAUCUUUCGCUAGGGAUGAUAAUGACAGUACCUAGUAAAGAAGCCCCGGCUAACUCCGUGCCAGCAGCCGCGGUAAUACGGAGGGGGCUAGCGUUGUUCGGAAUUACUGGGCGUAAAGCGCGCGUAGGCUGAUUACUCAGUCAGGGGUGAAAUCCCGGAGCUCAACUCCGGAACUGCCCUUGAUACUGGUAAUCUAGAGGUCGAGAGAGGUGAGUGGAAUUCCGAGUGUAGAGGUGAAAUUCGUAGAUAUUCGGAGGAACACCAGUGGCGAAGGCGGCUCACUGGCUCGAUACUGACGCUGAGGCGCGAAAGUGUGGGGAGCAAACAGGAUUAGAUACCCUGGUA